UUGUUUGUUUUGAAUCAAUGUUGUAAUUUUGUUUGUUAAAGGAGAACAUGUGGUUCCUCUCCUUCCCCUACUGGUGGCGUUAAAAACAUUUGUUUGAAAUGCUUUACCUAUGGUAUAAAUAAUAUGGUUAUAAUAAUAAUAAUAAUAAUAAUAAUAAUAAUAAUAAUAACUUAAGUGUAAAAAAUAAAAAUGUUUUUUAGAAUGUAUUUAUGCUAUCUUAAAAUAUAUACAUCACAAAAAAUAACUCUCCAGAGUAGAUAUUGUUAGUAAGUGAAACGUCAUGACUACUAUUGUAGCAUCUUAUUGGAUGGUCUGAAAUGUCAAUCAAACGACUUGAACCCACUCUCUUAUUGGAACAUCUAAAAAAGGAGCUGCUAACGUUUGGGCUCGUCUUUUUGUUACAAACAAUACAUUCUGCAACUCGAGUUCGAUAUAAAUGCCCCAAGACGGUGGUUCUCCAACCAUGGUACGAACACAAGUGACGGAACCUGGACGUCGUUUCAUGGUACCUAACAGAAUUCGAUUCUCUUUACGAUUAGGCUUUGCAGAUGAAAACCCCAGUUGAUGUCAAUACAACACACCAUUUGUCACAGAAUCUCUGACACACAGUGAAUAUCCCCUGCCUUUUACUGGAAAUGAUGACCUGUCCUCCUCUGGGAGUGGUCCACAGCUAUGUUUACACUUGGAGGUGCUGAAGCUGAGUUCAAGACCAUGAAGAAAAUGUCUAUGACGGGAUUACCAGGAUUUAAGUGAAGAUAUGACCCAAGAGUAAACAGCUCCUGUACAAGAGGAUGUGAUGAAGAGAUAAGAAGAUAAACUCACCAGCUGGGACAAUUAAAAACAUCCAUAUCUGAAUAAUUGUUUUAUGUUACCUCCCUGUCUACACAAGACUGACAGAGUUGACAUCAGUGCUGUCUUUGAUAAAAUGACAGCUACUGAAAAGUUUGUCCUCCUCCAUGUGCUUCUGAGAAAUGUGCUGAUCAUGUGAACUAAAUACUACUACUACUUUAAUAAUGUAUUUAAUGCCCUGUGCACCUUUUAGUGAAACACUGCUGAACUCCAACAGACAGAGACAACUGAUUAAUGAUAAUGAUAACUGUAAAAUACAGCACAGAUAGCAGAAAAGGUUAGCUAUAUUGGAGGACCGUUUUAUAAACAGUUAUUAUUGUGCUGACAGAACUACACACAUAUAUAUGUCUGACCCUUAUAUACCACGAUACUGGUCAAAAUUAGCACAAAUGAGCUGCCACACCUUAUAGAUUACCAAACAUAAUCUAUAUAAGUUACAUAAAUAAGUUAUUAUUUAAUGUAAAACUA